rnacentral:lncRNA from 1 species
GUAUUCAUAUCUACCCAUCCCCAUAAAUACUGCUAAAGUUCGUUCAUUCUGGCUAUCACGUGCUCUAUCUGUAAUGAUUAAUGCAUUGAUGUAUCUCCUAAAUCUACGGCUAAGGCAUCAUAACUUCUCAUGUAUGUAUGUUUAUGGUAAUUACUUACAAAAUUGUAACCUGUGUCUUAUGACCAUGCAUAAUAUUACAUUUCUUAACAAAGGAUGUCGAAUCAUGCAUUCUUUUUUAUCUGACUGAUUUGCAUCUCAGUACAUGCUGUGAGAAGUGUAAAAGGUGCCCAAUCUGCCGUGUUUCUAUUGAAGAGCGACUGCCGGUGUAUGAUGUGUAGUCUGAAAUUACCUGUAGAAAAAAUUCAUGUAAAGUUUUCAAGAAUUGCUUGUGAUUUUUGGUGAAGCAAGCAUUGAGAAGCAGGUCAAUUUGGUUUCUUGGAACAUGAUACAGUUGUGUAAUCGCACCCAAGAAUUGUAAAUAACAUUUGGUUGCAUUUAUGAAAUGAAAUUUAGGGAUUUUGACAUGAUACAAAGUUUCGAUGAAAAAUCAUUAGUGCCGAAGUAUCUUUUCACUUUGUUAAAACUUAAAAAUGAUCUUUAAUUAAUGAUGUUCAAACUGGAGCUUUACUUAGUUCAUAAGUAACUAUAAUGAAAAUCAAGGCAGUAAUGUGUUUUUAUCAAAAGUGAAGUCAACGACCUCAACAAAAAAGAAGUAUAGGAGAUUGUACAUAAUUGUUUACAUGUGCCAUAAGUUACAUCCAGCAUCAAAUGCCUAUUACUGUUGCUUGGCUUACAAGUUAACUGUUAGUGCCAGGGCAUUGGUGUGGAAGAUGUAAAUUAUGGCACAUGAAUGCUAUGAUUGAAAAGAAGACAUGCCCAUGCAUUCAACGACCUGGUCACUAUGGAUGGAUUGGCAGGCUGGUUUUGCUAGUUCAAUAUCGCUGACCCAAGCCAUGCCCAUGUCCAUGCAAUUUCAAGUUGUUAUUCUACAAUUUAUCCCCUCUCUAAGAGGGGUCUUAGAUUUAAGCUUUUCCAACAUAUAUAAUAAAUAUGUAUACAUGUAAUAUAGUAAUAGUUUAAUGAAUUAUUGAUAUUAAACAGUAGUUUUUUGUUGAUUGAAAAUGAAGCAGACAACCAUGACAUGACCAUGUGUGGUGGUGGGGGUUGUGUAUACGGAGGCACACGUGGGCUUUGGCUUUCAUCUUACCCUUUUCUUUUUGAUAGUCUAUUUCCUCAUCUUGCUGGACGGAGUGUUCAGAUUCAAGUUUUGUGAAAGAAAGAAAAAAAGUUGAUAGAACAUCUAACCCGACUAGACUUGGUGUUUAGUUGGAAUUCAAUAUGACUAAUUGAUAUGGGAAGGUUUCAUACCGGAAGAAGAAAACUAAACUUUGAGCAAUUCAUGAAAAAGGCAAAGCCCGAAAUUCGUCUUCUAUUUCACUAUCUGAAAGCAAAUGAUAGAAGCUAAAGAGCAGUUGCAUUGAUCCUUCUGACCUCCAAUCCCAUGAUGGAUCAAUCUUCAUGUCACAAAAACAGAAGCAGAUUUAAAAGAAUAAAGGAGCAUAUGCUUUGUUAACUAAUAAUAUCAAAGAUUUUAAUUCAAGCUAUCUAAUUUACAUCCAGGCCAUAAGGCCAUGGCAUACAAAAACUGUUUUUUCAACUUUCCGAUAAUGAUAUCCGCCGCUGGAAAGCAUUUACACUCCACCAUGAAAAGAAGAAAUAAAAAGAAAAAAAAGGAGUUUCAAUCAUGCCAGCAAAGGAGCAUAACAACACAUCUACGGAUUAUAUAAAGCUUAGCCCUUUGCUCUCGGAGGACCCCUCCAAAUCCUCUGCUUGAUAACCUUCUCUUUGAGGCUCCCAUGCUGCCACUGCUCAUCUUCAUCUCUACCUUGUGCUGCUGCGGAACUGAAAGAGGGGUUCUUAUAGGGAGGAAAGUGUGGUCCUGCCUUACAUUCAUUGGUCUAGUAAAGAGCCAUGGAUGGGGCAUGAAAGGGCGUGCAGUGCCCCCUAAGUCACCAGACAACACCAAUUGGACCCCACCCCCCACCCCUCUCUAUCUCCCCCAUUUUCAUUGCCAUGUCAUACUCUAUAUCUUAGCUUUUUUUGUAGACAUCAACCUCCAGCACAACGGGUCGGCCAUGAUUUUCAAUUAGCUAAGCAAAUUU